rnacentral:rRNA from 1 species
GACGAACGCUGGCGGCGUGCUUAACACAUGCAAGUCGAACGGAAAGGCCCUGCUUGCAGGGUGCUCGAGUGGCGAACGGGUGAGUAACACGUGGGUGAUCUGCCCCUUACUUUGGGAUAAGCCUGGGAAACUGGGUCUAAUACUGGAUAGGACCAUGCUGUAGGUGGUGUGGUGGAAAGAUUAGUUUCUGUAAGGGAUGAGCUCGCGGCCUAUCAGCUUGUUGGUGGGGUAAUGGCCUACCAAGGCGUCGACGGGUAGCCGGCCUGAGAGGGUGGACGGCGACAUUGGGACUGAGAUACGGCCCAGACGCCUUCGGGAGGCAGCAGUGGGGAAUAGUGCACAAUGGGCGCAAGCCGGAUGCAGCGACGCCGCGGGGGGGAUGACGGCCUUCGGGUUGUAAACUCCUUUCAGCCAUGACGAAGCCCUUGUGGUGACGGUAGUGGUAGAAGAAGCACCGGCUAACUACGUG